GUGAGGAAUAUUGCGCAAUGGAGGCAACUCUGACGCAGCCAUACCGCGUGCAGGAAGAAGGCGCUACGCGUUGUAAACUGCUUUUAACCGGGAAGAAACCCCAGGACGUGUCCUGGGUUGACGGUACCGGAGGAAUAAGCACCGGCUAACUUCGUGCCAGCAGCCGCGGUAAUACGAAGGGUGCAAGCGUUAUCCGGAUUCAUUGGGUUUAAAGGGUGCGUAGGCGGAGCGUUAAGUCAGUGGUGAAAUCCUGCAGCUUAACUGUAGACUUGCCAUUGAUACUGGCGCUCUUGAGUGCGCUUGAAGUGGGCGGAAUGUGCCGUGUAGCGGUGAAAUGCUUAGAUAUGGCACAGAACACCAAUUGCGAAGGCAGCUCACUAAGGCGAUACUGACGCUGAGGCACGAAAGCGUGGGGAUCGAACAGGAUUAGAAACCCGAGUAGUCC
rnacentral:rRNA from 1 species